AUAUAAUCUAGGGAGAGUCUGGCCCAGAGAGGAGAUGGGGCACCAUGGCAGCACAGUUUUCAACCAGCUGUCUUGAUGCUGAUUUGCAUUGCUUAUGGCCAUCCAAUCAUUCCCUUCAGGAGACAGCAUGCUUUUUGUCUUGGGCACAGUGAGGCGUCACCUUUGGGGGAGGCCCCAAGCAUCAAGAGAACCUAGGACCCAACCCAUGCAAGGAGGGGAAGAAGCCAUUCCAAUGAGCAAGCACAAAGAAGGAGACUUCAGACUCCGUAACAAAAAAUAAGCACCAACUAUUCUCAUCUGCCCCGCGUGGUGGCUGUUAACAGUCUGACUUCUUAUAGGCAUCUUGGUGGGUCUUGAAGAGAGAUGGUAAUGGCUGUAUGGAUCAGUUCAAGGUGAACACUCCAAGCAUACAGGGCAGCAUGUAAAAAGACACAAAGGCAGUUGUGUGAGAAACUGACAAGCAGUCAGAUGAAGAUGGCAUCAUUGGUGGAGCAGAAGAAUGAAUGACUGUUAUUCUGUUUGUAGCUAAGGUGCAGGUGUCAGACGGGAGAGCCAAUACAGGGGGGUUAUAAGCUUGUUUUGUUUAAUUUUCCCAGCCACAUAAUGGAAAGGCUAAGAAAAAAUGAUGAAGUCUCUCUAAAAUCAUGCCCCCAAAUCUAAACCAGACACCCAUGUGUAGCUUAGCAGGAGUGUAUAUGGAACACAGAAUUUUCAACGUUGGACAGUUAUUUACUUAUGCUUGUAGAGCGUAACUCAAGCAUCUUGUCAGAACCAUUGAUUGCAGUAUGGAGAGUCUAUAACAGUAGCAUCAUAGAACCUAAGCUGCCUUCUUUUAAUGCACAAUUUCUAGAUAUAGGAAAACAUACACCUAGAUAAAUAAAAGUAGCAGAAUAUAUGGAAAAUAAUAAUCUGACACUAACCCUGAACUGGGGUGGCAGCUGUAAACAAUCUGGCUUUAUAAUGGAAGGUUUGUAGCUCUUUAAAUACCCUUGAAACAUUAAAAUUAAGAAUGAAAUUAUUAUUUUCCCUUAAUUGUAAAUCAUGGAACUCUGUACUGAGCCAAAUUUCAUAAGAAAAACCUUCCAAAAUGAAAAUAGUCAAGAGGGAUCUUACUAUGGAGAUUCACACCAAAGUGACAAAAGGAUCUUUCACUUCAAGGAGGAAUUACUGUACCCUCACUAUUGGAUAUGGGCAGUCUCAACUAAUGGAACUUCAGAUCUAGGGUGCUGUAAAACACUAGCACUAGCACUGUAAAAACUCUGACCACUAUGCUACAUGUAGAAUAGAAACAGUAUGUGAUCCAUGAACACGGUUUAGAAAGUUGUGUGGUGUCUUGAGAGACUGCAAAUAUAUUCAGGUGAUCUGAACUUGCUGGAAGUGGUGCCAUAGCAAGUUGUUUUCUUCAGAUCUCAGGUGAAAUCCUGGCUCCAUUAUAAUCAAUGGGAGUUUUUCUAUCAACUUCAAUAGAUUUCAACUCUAGUCUAGAGUGAACAGGAUCUAGUAGGUAUGCUUCUCUCUUAAUUCAGAUGCUAGGGUUAUGUCAGGUUCCCUUGAGAUUGCUGUCAUUUUAAAGGAUGUUUGUUUGCACUCUGAUACUACACCUACCUCAGGUCUCAUUGACUUGUUUUAAAAUCUAAGCCAUUUCAUUUACAACAGGUGUUUUAGGCCUGUCACUUUGAUAUAUGCCUGUUCUGAGCUCAGUGCUGUUUUGAUACAGCCUCGUAAUGGUAACCUAUGAAAUUUCAUGGAGGGUUGUGAUAGUCUAGCCGUUUAGAGGGUGUCAGUGCAAUUACUACAGACAUGGAGGAGAGCAUCUUUAAUGAGUCCCUUCGUUGCUCCCAUGAGCAACAAAGCCCUGACAUUAGUGUUGAGUAUUUGGUUCUUUGAAUCCACUGAUAUGGAGUAGCCUACUUUAUAUGUACCAGCUAUGGAGGUAUAUGCAUGUUGUUCUGGAGCAUUUGAGGAUGACUAUUUGGUGAUCCUAGUGUUCUAGUAGCAGGAAGAGUUUAUCAAUGAACAUGCUAUUUUCUUUUAAUUCUAGUAGUAAGUAAUACUUUUUAUCCUUGAUUCAAAUAUAGAGCAGAUUUAUAAUCUAAUUUUGAGAUGAGAGACCUAUGGGACCACCAAUAGCUCUCCCUUGAAAGUGCAAGAUAGAUGAUAUAUCAGUUAAAAAAUAUUACUACAUUUGGACAGACUUAAGUGACGUGCAAAGGAUAUUGGGUGACAGUCUGGGCUCGCUGAAGUUAAUGGCAGUUUUGCCACUGACUUCUGUGGGGCCAAGUUUUCCCCUUUUGUUUUCAAACUGGGCUUAUGCCCUUUAAUACUUUGUGGUGAAUAAAAUGCCUGGAAAUUCUUUCUUUUUAAAGUUUAACUCUGCCUAGUGGUGGCUUUUAUUUAACCUUCAAAAUAUAAAUUUUGAUCUUUCUUGGUCAAUAUUAAUUCUCACACUUAAAUGAAGAUGAUUAAUCACCAGUUUCCUUUUCCAACAUGCUUGUCAUUGAAAUGAUGUGAUUCAAAACAUUUAAAAAACAGUCCAAUUAAAAAUCCCUGUCCCCCUCAGUAAGUCAGUUUUCACUCUAGGUUCUUGUGAUGCUAUCAUUUUCACUAAUUCUCCAGUCAGAGUCUUCCAAACCACAUGGUAAUAGAAUGCCACAUGG